rnacentral:tRNA from 1 species
ACUAUUUUGGCAGAUUAGUGCCAUAAAUUUAGAAUUUAUAUAUGUAAUUUAUUAUUACAAAUAGUA